rnacentral:lncRNA from 1 species
AAAAAAACCAACAACAACUCAUAUUCCAGGGUCCCGCUCCUGGGGUCAUCUAGACUUAAGGAACCCAGAAGUCUGUGUUUUUACUAGUGCCCCACACAAUCCUGGCAGGUGAUUCAUAGACCAUAUUUGAGAAGUUAUGGUGGAACCAAGUGUGCCCAGACUUGCUAAACAUUGAGCAUUGGAGAGUGGGGACAGAAAGGAAACUUGGGUUUGGGUUGUAAGCUGACUCAUGGAAGGUACAGCCCAUCUUUUCCUCAUGGGUACUCUGGGCUUAAACUGUGAGGAAUUUUACAGCAUCUCAGACCAGAGACGACUUUGUGGUGGGCCUUAGAGAAUGAUCAAGGCAACAUGUUCUAAGGUCUUGAUGGCAGAAGCACCAGGAGCCUAUUGUUUAAUAAUUAAAUGUCUAUUAUUGGGACAGUGGCCUGUCAAACUCGGCAUGUAAGUAAACACCCCCUCCCUGCCCACAGACCAUGGGAGUUUCAUCUUUAGUUCAUGGCUUCUAAUUUAUACUGUACUUGACUUCCCUGACGUUCUAUCCCUUCUCCAUGCUUCUUGCCUCCUCCCAUUAUACACUGCUCCUCUGAGAAAGGAAGACAUAGUGAAAAGUGCUGUAAUGAAGCCAGCAGUCCUAACAUUAAGUUCUCUUUCACUUACUAGCUGUGUGACUUUAGUAAAGUUACUUAGCCUCUCUGAGCCUUGAUUCUCUUUUGUAAAAGGAGAAUAAUACCUACCUCAUUAAAUUGCUAUAAGAGUUAGAAAUGCCAGAUGGGGCACAGUGGCUCAUGCCUAUAAUCUUAGCACUUUGGGAGGCCAAGGCAGGAUUGCUUGAAGCCAGGAGUUCAAGACCAGCCUAAGCAAAAAAGCAAGACGCUGUCUCUAAAAAGAGAGAUGUUUUAUGUCAAGUACCUGGCACAAUACUUGUCACUCAGUAGGUGGCAGGUGGGGAUAUCACUGCCCUACUGCAGACUGGGGCUUUCCCUCCUCCUGCUGAGGUUCUUGACUCAGAGCACUUCAGCAUUGCUACAAUGGGAGUUGCUCUCUUGGCAAUUACUUGAAAGUUUCUAGACAAAGUUGGAAAGGACUUUCGCAGUCAUCUGGUCCAUCUGGCCCAGUGGAUGCAGGAGAUCCUGGCACAGGCCUCAUGACAGAUGGGCACCCCAACUCUGCAAGUACCAAUGGAGAGCUCCCUCCUGAAGCUGACUGUCAUCGGAAGAUUCGUUGAUUGGAAGAAAGCUUUUCCUUGAAUUGAUCUGAAAUCAUUUCCCCACUAAUUAUAGACUCAAAACCAGUUACAGCUAAAAGACAUCUUCAAGAUCUUCAAACCCACCCACUGAUUUUAUGAAUGAGGACUUGGAGGCUCAGGGAAGUAGGGUGAGGUGCUGUUCACGCAGAGCUAAGCAGACCAGUGUCUCCUUCAAUGUCACUGAUUCACAUGGCCUCUCAGUUCUUACAGUGUCUCCCCCACCCACAUUCCCUCAACUUUCCUCCCACGAACCAGGAUCCACUCUUCACUCCUCUGAUUACCCACCUUUGCAUAUGCAAGUUUGUGAUGCCAAGAACUAUGCAUAAUUCUUACCGUGAUCUGGCCCUAGCAGAGCAAAAUGGGACUAUUUGAGAGUUAGAGCUGGGGCAAGAUAGGAAUUAGACCUGGAAAGGUCAAGAACUUAAACUACACAAAAGCAGCAGGUUAGUCGGGCUCAGUGGCUCACACCUGUAAUCCCAGCACUUUGAGAGGCCAAUGGGGGACGAUCACCUGAGGUCAAGAAUUCGAGACCAGCCUGGCCAACAUGGUGAAACCCCAACUCUACUAAAAAUACAAAAAUUAGCGGGGUAUGGUGGUGGCCACCUGUAAUCUCAGCUACAUGGGAGGCUGAGGCAGGAGAAUCUCUUGAACUCAGGAGACGGAGGUUGCCGUGAGCUGAGAUCACACCAUUGCACUCCAGCCUGGAUGACAAGAGUGAGACUCUGUCUCAACAACAACAACAACAACAAAAAGCCGCAGGUUCCUUAUAGAAAUGUGGGUGGUUGUGGUUGUUUAGUUGUAUUCAGCUCCUCUUCACUGACCUCUUAGAAUUUGUUGUAGACACUUUUGAAACAUCUCUAACAGGCCCAAGGAAGGUACUCAGUGAAAUUUGCUAAGUUAACAUAAAUUUAAUUUUAACUUUUUUUCUACCGAAUUUAAAAGGAAGGGGUGGAGAUAGAAGAAAGUGUCAAAGAAGAAAUUGACCUGUUGUCUCAAAACCAGUUGUAAAUUUGUAAUUUUGCCUAAAUGAAGAGUGGGACCUCACACAUGAUUUUAAAAUAAACCCAAGCAAAAUUUCUGUAAGUCUAGUGUUGGCAUUUUCUGGAAAUGUUAAUAGAGAUCACACAAUAAAGAAU